rnacentral:rRNA from 2 species
UGGGGAAUAUUGGGCAAUGGGGGAAACCCUGACCCAGCAACGCCGCGUGAAGGAAGAAGGCUUUCGGGUUGUAAACUUCUUUUACCAGGGACGAAGACGUGACGGUACCUGGAGAAAAAGCCACGGCUAACUACGUGCCAGCAGCCGCGGUAAUACGUAGGUGGCAAGCGUUGUCCGGAUUUACUGGGUGUAAAGGGCGUGUAGGCGGAGAUGCAAGUCAGAUGUGAAAUCUCGGGGCUCAACCCCGAAACUGCAUUUGAAACUGUAUCCCUUGAGUAUCGGAGAGGCAGGCGGAAUUCCUAGUGUAGCGGUGAAAUGCGUAGAUAUUAGGAGGAACACCAGUGGCGAAGGCGGCCUGCUGGACGACAACUGACGCUGAGGCGCGAAAGCGUGGGGAGCAAACAGG